AUGUCCUGUCAUAUUCCAGGGAGUAAGGAGGAGAUGGCUGAGCUCAUCAAACUCCGGGGUGAAAACGAACACCUGUUCACUGGUGCCAGGAACUCAGCCGCUGCGGGUUGGAGGGCAAUCCUGGAGCAGAUGGGCCUGGCGGGCCAAAUCACCCCGUUGCAGGCGGAAAAAAAAUGGGACAAUCUAAAGAAAAAAUACAAAGAUUGCAAGUAUCCCGCAUCAGGUGAGGGGGUGAGUGGGAAGACCACUGCUGCCACUUGGCCCUGGUUUGUCCCAAUGGAUGAGGUCCUUCAAAUGGAUGAGGAUGUGGAACGGCGGGAGAAUGAGGCCCAGCUGGAGGCACGGCCAGAAAAGAGGAAGAGGGACAGGGAGGAUGAAGUCCUGGAAUUGAUAAAAAAGGACAUGAGGCUACAGAGGGAGAUUGAAGAAAGACGUGCCGAGCGAAUGGACAGGAUCAUAUGUCUACUGGAGAAGGUUGUGGAAAAACAAAAUGAGUAAGGUAGUGUGAAUAGGACCUAUUGUACAAACACUUACAGUUGUCAUAUUUAUGUUUGUGCAGGAUAUGUGAAAUGUGGACGAAAUAAUUUAAGUUCUGUUAAUACAAGUUGCACUUUUUAUUUGAAUUGUUGAACAAAUGUGAAAAAUGAACAGAAUGUACAAAGUCCUGUGAAUAAAAAAAUUUGUUA
rnacentral:lncRNA from 1 species